GAUGAACGCUGGCGGCGUGCCUAAUACAUGCAAGUCGAGCGAACAGACGAGGAGCUUGCUCCUCUGACGUUAGCGGCGGACGGGUGAGUAACACGUGGAUAACCUACCUAUAAGACUGGGAUAACUUCGGGAAACCGGAGCUAAUACCGGAUAAUAUAUUGAACCGCAUGGUUCAAUAGUGAAAGACGGUUUUGCUGUCACUUAUAGAUGGAUCCGCGCCGCAUUAGCUAGUUGGUAAGGUAACGGCUUACCAAGGCAACGAUGCGUAGCCGACCUGAGAGGGUGAUCGGCCACACUGGAACUGAGACACGGUCCAGACUCCUACGGGAGGCAGCAGUAGGGAAUCUUCCGCAAUGGACGAAAGCCUGACGGAGCAACGCCGCGUGAGUGAUGAAGGUCUUCGGAUCGUAAAACUCUGUUAUUAGGGAAGGACAAAUGUGUAAGUAACUAUGCACGUCUUGACGGUACCUAAUCAGAAAGCCACGGCUAACUACGUG
rnacentral:rRNA from 1 species